rnacentral:pre_miRNA from 1 species
UUAACUCAAAUUGGUAUAAAGUUAGAAAAGUUGCCUACGUUUGCCGCUAGGAACGCUGUUCCAACUACAUACAAAUUUUAUUA